rnacentral:rRNA from 1 species
CCUACGGGAGGCUGCAGUGGGGAAUAUUGCGCAAUGGGCGAAAGCCUGACGCAGCGACGCCGCGUGAGGGAUGAAGGUCUUCGGAUCGUACACCUCUGUCAGCAGGGAAGAACGGUCACUGUGCUAAUCAGCAGUGAAUUGACGGUACCUGCAAAGGAAGCACCGGCUAACUCCGUGCCAGCAGCCGAGGCAAUACGGAGGGGGCGAGCGUUAAUCGGAAGUACUUGGCGUAAAGCGCUCGUAGGCGGUAGGUCAAGGAAAGGGUGAAAUCCCCGCGCUCAAUGUGGGAACUGCCUUUGAAACUGGCAAACUGGAGUGUGUGAGAGGAUAGUGGAAUUCCAGGUGUAGGAGUGAAAU